UACAGGGGGGGCAAGCGUUGUUCGGAAUUACUGGGCGUAAAGGGUCUGUAGGUGGCCAACUAAGUCAGACGUGAAAUCCCUCAGCUUAACUGGGGAACUGCGUCUGAUACUGGAUGGCUUGAGUGUGGGAGAGGAAUGCGGAAUUCCAGGUGUAGCGGUGAAAUGCGUAGAUAUCUGGGGGAACACCGGUGGCGAAGGCGGCAUUCUGGACCAUAACUGACACUGAGAGACGAAAGCCAGGGGAGCAAACGGG
rnacentral:rRNA from 1 species